rnacentral:lncRNA from 1 species
UUUUUCCUCCUAGCUCAGGCCACCAACGUCACAGCCGGGACUGAGAGAACUGCUGCAUCUGUGGAAACUUCUAUUCUCGUGGGGCAGAGAUUGCACUGUGAAACCCUACCGACACUACCCCGGAAGGGCCUGGCCUCCGAGGUGUCUGCAGCGUGCUGCCUUCGCCGGGGCUUUUCAGAAUGGGCCGGGGCCUCGGGGGUCUUCAUCCCCAAGGAAGCCUCUUGAUUUUUGGCACCGCCUUUGUUUUUGGGCCGGAAGCCGUUGUGCGGCUGUCUUCUGUGUUCGUGGCGGCUGUUGCCCUUUCCCAGUGGCUCGGCUUCAUUCCCACUGCCCUGCGACUUGGCAGGCCCAUUUAGCCUGUUGUUAUGAUACUGUGGAUUAAAUCUCCGUCUUUGGUUAGAAGAUCCAUUCUACCAAAAAAGAAAAGAGAUAAGUAUCAGAUGCCAGCAAGCCACUGAUGACACCAGUAGACAUCAGGAAAACCAAAUCUCUAAGCCACAGUUAUAAGCAAAGAAAAUUUGAAGCCUCUAUUAAAAAAUCAUUCCUUCAACACAUCACUGACCAGGAACGUAAAUGGAUGAGCAGUAAGGACGCAAUGGAUUAAGCUCCUUUACAAGGGAAAGAUUUCUGAACUCCUCAAGGUCAGUAAUAGCCAACACUCAUUGAGUGCUUACCAUGCACUGAAUGGGGUUUCUCACCAUGCACUACCUCAUUUAACAUCAGAAUCACCCUUUAAGUUAGUUGCUAUUAUGUGCUUCGUUUUAUAGAUGAGGAUAAGGAGUUUCAGGGACUUGCCCAAGGUCUAUCUACAGUUGGGAAAUGGUGGAGCUAUUCCCGCUUUAUAUACUAUCUCCUGACAAGACUCUUAAGUUGUAACAUAAACAUAAACCUUUUUUGAAAAUCAAACCUCUUAAGAAAACAUGAAAUUUUAUGAGUUACAAAUAUAUAAGGUUCUUCAUUUGUGCACUGUGACUGGAUGGUAUAGGUUUAGGGCAGACCAACCCCCAAUAAUUCAGAGCCUAGAGCAAGAGUACAAAUGUAGGUCCAUACAUCUGUUAAAGGAAAAUAAAUCUUGGGGCCCCCAAAUCACUAAGCUGAAGGGAAAAGUCAAGCUGGGAACUGCUUAGGGCAAACCUGGCUCCCAUUCUAUUCAAAGUCACCCCUCUGCUCACUGAGAUAAAUGCAUAUCUGACUGUCUCAUUUGGAGAGGCUAAUCAGAAACUCAAAAGAAUACAACCAUCUGUCUUUUAUCUGCCUAAGACCUGGAAGCCCCCUCCUCGCUCCCAGUUGUCCGCCUUUGCCUCCAGUAGUCCCACCUUUCUGGACUGAACUGAUAUUCACCUUACACAAAUGGAUUGAUGUCUCAUGUCUCCCUAAAAUGUACAAAACCAAGCUGUGCCCCACCACCUUGGGCACAUGUCAUCAGACCUUCUGAGGCUGUGUCACGGGUGCACGUCCUCAACCUUGGCAAAAUAAACUUUCUAAGUUAUCUGAGACCUGUCUCAGAUUUUUGGGGUUCACACACCAUAUGUCUGAAUACUGUCUUUUCCUAUCUCUGGCUCCAUCCCACAUUGUAAGGGGCCUUGCACACACAAAUGUGGACAUUCCAGCCUGCACACCUAAGCAUCGCCUCCACUCCCACCCUUCCAGCGGAUGGGUGUGAAAACUGGCAGUGUUGUUCAUCUUCAAGAUGAUGUAUACAGGAAAGUGGUCCAGGCAGAUCCUGUGAGCAGGCUUGGGCCCACUUGGGAAGAGUAACCCAGGAUCUCGAGUACUGACUGGCAGCAUGCUUCAGAACAAAGAGUGUAGAUUCCAGUGGCCCUGUCUCCUUGGUCUCUCUGAUUCCUUACUCUGUAGAGAGGGCCAUGGCUGCGGGAGGGUCAAGAAGUUACUUGAAAACACAGGGCCCGGUCCAAGGGCCAUUCUUGCCUGGGUCUACAGUGUUCUGACUUAGAUAUUUGAGUGGAUUUCAACUUAAAUGAGCCAUUACCUAAACUGCUAAACCAGAGAACUGAAGAAGUAUCUACAUAGAUAGUACUUAAUCUGGCCUCCUUUGUUUUUAAAGAAAUUAUGAAAAAGGGAAACUCUUAGACUAAAUUUUAGACUUAAUUAUCAGCAUGGUAUUUAAUAAUGAACAGAGAGGCCAGGCAUGGUGGCUCAUGCCUGUAAUCUCAGCACUUUGGGAGGCUGAAGCAGGUGGAUCGCUUGAGCCCAGGAAUUUGACAGCAACAUGACAAAACCCCAUCUCUACAAAAAUUAUACAAAAAAAUUUAGUCAGGCGUGGUGGCACGUGCCUGUAGUCCCAGCUACCCUGCAGGCUGAGCCUGGUGGAUUGUUUGAGCCCAGGAGGUUGAGGCUGCAGUGGGCCGAGAUUGUGCCAAAAAAAAGAAAAAAAAAAGAACAAAAACUGUGAAGAUAUAUUUAGACUACAAGUAAAAACAGAUUUGAUUAUGAUCUUUAACUAAUGAGAUUAUAACAUGCUCCUUGUCAAAGUGCUAUCUUAAAGCUCAUGAAGACUUCAGGGCCUGAGAAAACACCUGUCAAUAUCAUUAAUAAGAAUUCUCAAAGGCUGAGACAGCAAAACCCAACAAGACACCUGUUAGAAAACCACCAUUUUUAAAGUCUUACAAAAAAAAAAAA